rnacentral:rRNA from 1 species
UGGUAAUACCGGAUGCUCCGCUCCAUCGCAUGGUGGGGUGGGAAAUGCUUUUGCGGCAUGGGAUGGGGUCGCGUCCUAUCAGCUUGUUGGCGGGGUGAUGGCCCACCAAGGCGUUGACGGGUAGCCGGCCUGAGAGGGUGACCGGCCACAUUGGGACUGAGAUACGGCCCAGACUCCUACGGGAGGCAGCAGUGGGGAAUAUUGCACAAUGGGCGCAAGCCUGAUGCAGCGACGCCGCGUGCGGGAUGGAGGCCUUCGGGUUGUAAACCGCUUUUGUUCAAGGGCAAGGCACGGUUUCGGCCGUGUUGAGUGGAUUGUUCGAAUAAGCACCGGCUAACUACGUGCCAGCAGCCGCGGUAAUACGUAGGGUGCGAGCGUUAUCCGGAUUUAUUGGGCGUAAAGGGCUCGUAGGCGGUUCGUCGCGUCCGGUGUGAAAGUCCAUCGCCUAACGGUGGAUCUGCGCCGGGUACGGGCGGGCUGGAGUGCGGUAGGGGAGACUGGAAUUCCCGGUGUAACGGUGGAAUGUGUAGAUA